rnacentral:sRNA from 2 species
GCUGUCGCAAAAUCGACAGCCGGGCGUAGGAACCCGUGUUUAAUCUUGGCGACACCAGACGCCGCUUGCGUCUUUUUU